AUGCACGCUGGCGGCGUGCCUAAUACCUGCAAGUCGAGCGAACAGAUGAGGAGCUUGCUCCUCUGACGUUAGCGGCGGACGGGUGAGUAACACGUGGAUAACCUACCUAUAAGACUGGGAUAACUUCGGGAAACCGGAGCUAAUACCGGAUAAUAUAUUGAACCGCAUGGUUCAAUAGUGAAAGACGGUUUUGCUGUCACUUAUAGAUGGAUCCGCGCCGCAUUAGCUAGUUGGUAAGGUAACGGCUUACCAAGGCAACGAUGCGUAGCCGACCUGAGAGGGUGAUCGGCCACACUGGAACUGAGACACGGUCCAGACUCCUACGGGAGGCAGCAGUAGGGAAUCUUCCGCAAUGGGCGAAAGCUUGACGGAGCAACGCCGCGUGAGUGAUGAAGGUCUUCGGAUCGUAAAACUCUGUUAUUAGGGAAGAACAAAUGUGUAAGUAACUAUGCACGUCUUGACGGUACCUAAUCAGAAAGCCACGGCUAACUACGUG
rnacentral:rRNA from 1 species